rnacentral:ncRNA from 1 species
GGACAAAGAUGAGAGAAAACCUAAGUGUGUGCCUGUUGAAGAAUGAGCCGGUGACUCAUAGGAAGUGGCUUGGUUAAGGGAACCCAUCGGAGCCGCAGCGAAAGCGAGUCUUCAUAGGGCAAUUGUCACUGCUUAUGGACCCGACUUGGGUGAAACUAAGUGGAGGUCCGAACCGACUGUUGUUGAAGAAUCAGCGAAUGAGUUGUGGUUAGGGGUGAAAUGCCACUCGAACCCAGAGCUAGCUGGUUCUCCCCGAAAUGCGUUGAGGCACAGCAGUUGACUGGACAUCUAGGGGUAAAGCACUAUUUCAGUGCGGACCGUGAGAGCGGUACCAAAUCGAGGCAAACUUUGAAUACUAGAUAUGACCUUAAAAUAAUAGGGGUAGAGGUCGGGCAGUGAGACGGUAGGGGAUAAGUGUAACACCCUAAAUCUGGUCUAAACGUUAUAACCAAAUUUGAGGUGUUACAUUUAGUGGUAUCAGAGCUACGGUUUGGUCGAUUCUCGGGCCGAACGUAGCAUUUGUGAGUACAGCUAUACAUGCCAUGUUAUGACUCGUGAUGUUGUGAUAUCUCCGGG